UACGGAGGGUGCAAGCGUUAUCCGGAUUCACUGGGUUUAAAGGGAGCGUAGGUGGGUCUGUAAGUCAGUGGUGAAAUCUCCGGGCUUAACCUGGAAACUGCCAUUGAUACUAUAGGUCUUGAAUAUUGUGGAGGUUAGCGGAAUAUGUCAUGUAGCGGUGAAAUGCUUAGAUAUGACAUAGAACACCAAUUGCGAAGGCAGCUGGCUACGCAUAUAUUGACACUGAGGCUCGAAAGCGUGGGGAGCGAACAGG
rnacentral:rRNA from 1 species